rnacentral:rRNA from 1 species
CAGUAGCCACGGUAAUACGUAGGUGGCAAGCGUUGUCCGGAAUUAUUGGGCGUAAAGGGCUCGCAGGCGGUUUCUUAAGUCUGAUGUGAAAGCCCCCGGCUCAACCGGGGAGGGUCAUUGGAAACUGGGAAACUUGAGUGCAGAAGAGGAGAGUGGAAUUCCACGUGUAGCGGUGAAAUGCGUAGAGAUGUGGAGGAACACCAGUGGCGAAGGCGACUCUCUGGUCUGUAACUGACGCUGAGGAGCGAAAGCGUGGGGAGCAAACAGGAUUAGAUACCCCCGUAGUCCCUGUCUCUUAUAC